rnacentral:lncRNA from 1 species
CCAUGGAAGAAGGUGCUUGUUUCCCCUUUGCCUUCCGCCAUGAUUGUAAGUUUCCUGAGGUCUCCCAGUCAUACUGCUGGUUAGGCCUGCGAAACUGUGUACUUGUUUGAAAUGUAUCUGGCCCAAUCGCUGAGCGUCCGCGCUGCAUUUCUCCAAACUGCCCAGCAGGGGGCGGUGCUACUUCAGGGCUCCGCGCAGCCACGGCUUCCCGCCGGCGAACGAAGGGCGCGGAAUCUGGAGAGGGCGAGGGACAUCUUUCCUCCCACCUGUCCCCCGCCAGGCCUGCCAGACCUGUCUCAUCCGUGCUGCUGCUUCUGAAAAUCAGAAGAGUGAGGAUGAAAUAAAGUCUUCAUAAAGGAAAACCA